rnacentral:rRNA from 1 species
CCUACGGGAGGCAGCAGUAGGGAAUAUUGCUCAAUGGGGGAAACCCUGAAGCAGCAACGCCGCGUGGGGGAUGAAGGUUUUCUGAUUGUUAACUCCUUUUGGUAGAGAAGAUAAUGACGGUAUCUACCGACUAAGCACCGGCUAACACCGUGCCCGCCGCCGCGAUCAAUCGGAGGGUGCAAGCGGUACUCGGGAUCACUGGGCGUAACGGGCGCGUAGGCGGGAUAGCUAUUCCGAUGUGAAAUCCUAUGGCCUAACCAUAGACCUGCAGUUGAAACUGUUCUUCUAGAGUAUGGGAGAGGUAGGUGGAAUGCGUGGUGUAGGGGUAAAAUCCGUAGAGAUCAAGAGGAAUACUCAUUGCGAAGGCGACCUGCUAGAACAUAACUGACGCUGAUGCGCGAAAGCGUGGGGAGCGAACAGGAUUAGAUACCCUAGUAGUC